CAAUAGCGUAUAUUUAAGUUGUUGCAGUUAAAAAGCUCGUAGUUGGAUUUCGGGUGGGACGCAGCGGUCUCGCAUUGCGUUUGUACUGCUGCAGCCCUCCUUCUUGCCGGGGGCGGCCUCUCGGACUUCACUGUCUGGGGGUCAGAAUCGGCGAUGUUACUUUGAGUAAAUUAGAGUGUUCAAAGCAAGCUUACGCUCUGAAUAUAAUAGCAUGGGAUAACACGACAGGGCUCUGGCCUAUCGUGUUGGUCUAUAGGACCAGAGUAAUGAUUAAGAGGGACAGUCGGGGGCAUUCGUAUUCCGUUGUCAGAGGUGAAAUUCUUGGAUUUACGGAAGACGAACAUCUGCGAAAGCAUUUGCCAAGGAUGUUUNCAUUGA
rnacentral:rRNA from 1 species